UAGGGAAUCUUCGGCAAUGGACGGAAGUCUGACCGAGCAACGCCGCGUGAGUGAAGAAGGUUUUCGGAUCGUAAAGCUCUGUUGUAAGAGAAGAACGAGUGUGAGAGUGGAAAGUUCACACUGUGACGGUAUCUUACCGGAAAGGGACGGCUAACUACGUGCCAGCAGCCGCGGUAAUACGUAGGUCCCGAGCGUUGUCCGGAUUUAUUGGGCGUAAAGCGAGCGCAGGCGGUUAGAUAAGUCUGAAGUUAAAGGCUGUGGCUUAACCAUAGUAGGCUUUGGAAACUGUUUAACUUGAGUGCAAGAGGGGAGAGUGGAAUUCCAUGUGUAGCGGUGAAAUGCGUAGAUAUAUGGAGGAACACCGGUGGCGAAAGCGGCUCUCUGGCUUGUAACUGACGCUGAGGCUUGAAAGCGUGGGGAGCAAACAGGAUUAGAUACCCUGGUAGUCCACGCUGUAAACGAUGAGUGCUAGGUGUUAGACCCUUUCCGGGGUUUAGUGCCGUAGCUAACGCAUUAAGCACUCCGCCUGGGGAGUACGACCGCAAGGUU
rnacentral:rRNA from 1 species